rnacentral:rRNA from 1 species
GACGUAGGGUGCAAGCGUUGUCCGGAUUUACUGGGCGUAAAGCGCCUGUAGGCGGGAACGUGCGUCGGACGUGAAAGGCGGGGGCUUAACCCCCCGAGCGGCGUUCGAAACGGCGUUUCUUGAGGGUCGAAGAGGAGCGUGGAAUUCCUGGUGUAGCGGUGAAAUGCGUAGAGAUCGGGAGGAACACCGGUGGCGAAGGCGGCCAGCUGGCGCUGACCUGACGCUGAGGCGCGAAGGCGUGGGGAGCGAACGGG